CAUUGCAGGACUGUUUACAACUGUGAAAAAGUGAAAACGAUCUAACUGUCCCUUCUAGAGGACUAGAGAGAUGAAGCUAAGUGCCUCACUCUUCUAUGGAGGGUUUGAUGUGCCUCCAGUCCCCAUCAUCAUCAGUCUUUGAGAAUCACUGACAAGCAUAGAAUGGAAUUGUUACCUGCCAUUAUUUUGUUACAAUUUACUGCUUGUAAUUUUUGUUAUCAAAGUAAUAGCAUUUUCAUUUUCCCAAUUUGGAAGUAUAUUCUGAUAUUAAUUAUGCUUCUUAAAUCUGAGCAUGCCUUUUGGAAAUGCGUAUAUAUGCUCUCUCCAACCCCCUCUCACCUCAUACAAUUGGGAAUCACAGACAAAAAGAAUUAGCAGUACACAUACAUAUUUUUUGGAAAGCUCAUUAACAGAGUCUAAGAGAUAAGGGGACAAGUGUCAGAAUUGGAGCCAGGAGUCCUAGCUGGCUGUAACUGUGGAAUUAUUUUCUUAACUUUUCUGUGCUUUUCUUUCUUUAUCUUUAAAGUGGAGGUGUUGACUUACCACUAAAUCCUUUCCAGCUCUAAGGUUUUGUAAUUUUAUGAAACACAUGAGUGAAGUCAGUUAUAAAACUAAAUGGUGAUUAGAAUAUAUGAACUGAGGAAGAGCCAAAGGACUCCUCCGUGUCCCAAUAUCUCUUCCUCUGUCUUUGCCAGAGUGUCACUGUUUCAGAUUAAGGUACUGAAGGCUGAAAUUUGAAAGCAACUGUUCAUGUAAAUGUCUUGGUAGAAAUAAAUUUUAAGAUAAGUUUGUCAAAUUCCUGGCUUCCUAAAAGAUUCUGGGACACAGGGCUGGUAGUUUUGAUGAAAAGGUGAGCCAAGAUUGAGCCAGAGUGUUGAAAGCACUGCCUUAGGAGGGAUCCUUGCCCUUUAGAAGGAUGCAUAGGGCACUAUAUGCUUGGGAAUAAUGGAUCCUGAAUAAGGGAAAGAGUGGACAGAGGAGGGUGGAGCAGAACCAAAGACAGCAUUGUCACAAGUUCACAACAGCAGCUCUCAGUCACCUCUUAAAUUCCAGCUGAUGAAAGAACUGCUUGUCCGAGGGCUUGGGGGCCAUCCCAACAGGUCAUGACUCCACAGGGAAGAGGCACUGUAGUAGCUACCAGCAUUGCUGCAGCCUCAACUCAAUAUCCAUCAGGAGGGGGAAGACCAUGCACCCUGUGGGCUGAGCAAUACCACCUCCAGGCAUUAUGGCUCCUCCACCUAGGAUGAGACCACCCAUAGGCCCACCAACUGGGCUUCCCCCUGCUCGAAGGAUGCCAAUAGGCAUGUCCCUCCAGGAAUUAGACCUCCUCUACCAGGAAUCAGAGGUCCACCAAGACCCUAGAAUACUGUUGAUCCUUCUUAAGUCACUUGCCCCCCUGCAAUGUGUCUUGUGAAACUGUGUAAAGUAUGGGCUUUAGUUCCCUCUUUGCUGCAAUUAAAAAAAAAAGUUGUUUGUUUUAUGUAA